GCCGCUGUAGCCAAGUUGGUACAGGCGUUGCCAGUACAGAUGUUGAGGGUCGCUGGUUCAAAUUUAGCCUGCGGUG